UUAUCACAUCUUUCGUCGUCUUUCAUCAAGCAGUCUUCCUUUAGUGUCACUCUAAACAGGAUUACCAAGAAAAGUAGAUAUAAGUAGAAGUGAGCCUCAGGUCUUUCCCAGUCGGAUCCAGAGCUUAAACGACCUUGCAUAACCUGUGUUGAGGAACGAGAUAAACAACGCAGACGAAACAUGGGAUCGUUAUGCAAUUUGUUAUCGAUUUAGAGUGAAUGUUAUACUGAGCUGGAAUCAUGGAAAACUUGCCAGAAAUGUCAAAUGGUAUGAGAAGUACUGAACUGGCUGUAGUUGUAGACAGUUCACAUAAUCUUGAUGGACAGGUGAUAGAAGAGCAGAUAAGUUCUGCAGACAAAAUCACAUAUGAGUCUGGAUCUGCUUCUCUGAAAUAUGUUUUGAUUGCUGGCCUCCACAUGGUAUUGUUGGCAGGUGCUUGACAUGGACGCUAUUGGUUCUCCUGGGCUGGGGAGCUGCAAUUGCUAUUAUUGGCAUUUCAGCCCUUCCUGGUGGCAAUAUCUUCUCCCUUAUGUGUCUCUUCUGUAUUGCUGUGCUUGGAGGUCAGCUGGCCACACUAGCAAAGCUUCCCUCACUGAUGGGUAUGCUGGUGGUGGGCAUUAUCCUCAGCAGUGUUCCUGGGAUCAACUAUGUGGGCAAUAAUAUAGAUAAAGAAUGGUCUUCUGC